UUAAUUGAAGCCAAAAUAGAGGCGUAUUACUGUUAAUAAUAUCAAUGAAUUUAAAAGUUCCAAUUAGU
rnacentral:tRNA from 1 species